UUUUUGCUUGCAGCUGUCUGCUCCUCUUCCGCAAGAGCAUCACGUUAAUUCCAACCUGCGAGAGGACAUGCCGAUCAGAUUUUCCCACCCUCCUAUCAAGAUCGCCAGCCUGGCUUCUAGGAGGGAGUUAGAGCGUGUGCGGAAACUUUGUUUGCGGAGUCUGUUUCCAGCCCAGAGUGGGACCUCACAGUACGCAGUCCCCCCAUCCUGAGUUCUUUGGACGAAGGAGCCAAGAUUCUAAGCCAAGCGGGCUCCGAAGAGUGGCGAUUUCCACUAUAACUCUUGUGUUUUCUUACUGCCUCGUUACUUCUGGCCAUGGAAAAUCUGGCCUUGCAAGCAUCCAGAGCCUGUUGGAAAUGGGCCAAGCACUGCGCCAUCUCCUUUAGAUCCAAUUCCAAGGAAUUCCUCGCCAGAAAUGCUUUCAGCACCUCCCUGCCCUACAGGCUCAUGGGAAUCACUGGCUGUCGAUUGCUGCCAGCAAUUGGGCCUGGCAUGUCAGAUACGUCAGGACACACUCCCAAGAACAUACAGUGAAAGGAAGUGUUCUGGGCCUACGUGAAGUGCAUCUCUUUAAUCUCCAGCUAAUUCCAGCCAGUUCCGACACAUCUCAGCAGAUCUGACGGCACUUACAAAUCCAUUGGACAAGGUUGCAGCUGGGAUUGUGCUGAUCCAAACGGACUUCCUUAGCCUGGCGUGUUGGACCCGAAUUCUUGGCACACUCCAGCCGAGUGGGAGUUUGAGGAGCUUGAAAACGACCCUGUUUAGGGGAAUAGAGCAAACUGGCUAUCGUGGCAAAAGCAAAGGCAAAUGUCCCAUUUAUACAGGCUGC